rnacentral:rRNA from 1 species
CUGGGUUUGACAUGCGCCAGACGCGUCUAGAGAUAGGCGUUCCCUUGUGGUUGGUGUGCAGGUGGUGCAUGGCUGUCGUCAGCUCGUGUCGUGAGAUGUUGGGUUAAGUCCCGCAACGAGCGCAACCCUUGUUCCAUGUUGCCAGCGGGUGAUGCCGGGGACUCAUGGGAGACUGCCGGGGUCAACUCGGAGGAAGGUGGGGAUGACGUCAAGUCAUCAUGCCCCUUAUGUCCAGGGCUUCACACAUGCUACAAUGGCCUAUACAGAGGGCUGCGAGACCGUGAGGUGGAGCGAAUCCCUUAAAGUGGGUCUCAGUUCGGAUCGGGGUCUGCAACUCGACCCCGUGAAGUUGGAGUCGCUAGUAAUCGCAGAUCAGCAACGCUGCGGUGAAUACGUUCCC